AUUGAACGCUGGCGGCAUGCCUUACACAUGCAAGUCGAACGGCAGCGGACCUUCGGGUGCCGGCGAGUGGCGAACGGGUGAGUAAUAUAUCGGAACGUACCUUUCAGUGGGGAAUAACGUAGCGAAAGUUACGCUAAUACCGCAUAUUCUGUGAGCAGGAAAGCAGGGGAUCGCAAGACCUUGCGCUGAUUGAGCGGCCGAUAUCAGAUUAGCUAGUUGGUGAGGUAAAGGCUCACCAAGGCGACGAUCUGUAGCGGGUCUGAGAGGAUGAUCCGCCACACUGGAACUGAGACACGGUCCAGACUCCUACGGGAGGCAGCAGUGGGGAAUUUUGGACAAUGGGCGCAAGCCUGAUCCAGCCAUGCCGCGUGAGUGAAGAAGGCCUGG
rnacentral:rRNA from 1 species